CCAUAUUUUUAUUUUUGGGUUACCAGGUGCCUAUUUUAAACAGUCCAUAAUAACACACUAAUAGACAAAUACAGUGAAAUAAUAACACUAAUAGACAUAUACAGUGAAAUGAUAACAUACUAAUAGACAAAUACAGUGAAAUGAUAACAUACUAAUAUACAAAUACAGUGAAAUAAUAACAUACUAAUAGGCAUAUACAGUGAAAUAAUAACACUAAUAGACAUAUACAGUGAAAUGAUAACAUACUAAUAGACAAAUACAGUGAAAUAAUAACACUAAUAGACAUAUACAGUGAAAUAAUAACACUAACAAACAAAUACAGUGAAAUAAUAACAUACUAAUAGACCUAUACAGUGAAAUAAUAACACAUUAAGAGACAUAUACAGUGAAAUAGAGCAGCAGUGAAAUGUCCCUUUAAGUGGUGAUAACAUCAGGUCUCUCUUUCUCUACUCUCUCUCUGUCUCUCUAUUCUCUCUGUCGCUCUAUUCUCUCUGUUCUCUGUCUCUCUGUCUCUCUGUUCUCUCUGUCUCUCUGUUCUCUCUGUCUCUCUGUUCUCUCUGUCUCUCUAUUCUCUCUGUCUCUCUGUUCUCUCUGUCUCUCUGUUCUCUCUGUCUCUCUAUUCUCUCUGUCUCUCUCCCUAUUCUCUCUCUCUAUUCUCUCUGUCUCUCUGUUCUCUCUGUCUCUCUGUUCUCUCUGUCUCUCUCCCUAUUCUCUCUCUCUAUUCUCUCUGUCUCUCUGUUCUCUCUGUCUCUCUGUUCUCUCUGUCUCUCUGUUCUCUCUGUCUCUCUAUUCUCUCUGUCUCUCUCCCUAUUCUCUCUCUCUAUUCUCUCUAUUCUCUCUGUCUCUGUUCUCUCUGUCUCUCUGUUCUCUCGGUCUCUCUGUUCUCUCUGUCUCUCUAUUCUCUCUGUCUCUCUGUCUCUCUGUUCUCUCUGUCUCUCUGUUCUCUCUGUCUCUCUAUUCUCUCUGUCUCUCUCUCUAUUCUCUCUGUCUCUCUGUUCUCUGUCUCUCUAUUCUCUCUGUUCUCUCUGUCUCUCUGUUCUCUGUCUCUCUAUUCUCUCUGUUCUCUGUCUCUCUGUUCUCUCUGUCUCUCUGUUCUCUCUGUUCUCUCUGUCUCUCUAUUCUCUCUGUCUCUCUGUUCUCUCUGUCUCUCUGUUCUCUCUGUCUCUCUAUUCUCUCUCCCUAUUCUCUCUCUCUAUUCUCUCUGUCUCUCUGUUCUCUCUGUCUCUGUCUCUCUGUUCUCUCUGUCUCUCUGUCUCUGUGUUCUCUCUGUCUCUCUAUUCUCUCUGUCUCUCUCCCUAUUCUCUCUCUCUAUUCUCUCUGUCUCUCUGUUCUCUCUGUUCUCUCUGUCUCUCUGUCUCUCUGUUCUCUCUGUCUCUCUGUUCUCUCUGUUCUCUCUGUCUCUCUAUUCUCUCUGUCUCUCUGUUCUCUCUGUCUCUCUGUUCUCUCUGUCUCUCUAUUCUCUCUGUCUCUCUCCCUAUUCUCUCUCUCUAUUCUCUCUGUCUCUGUCUGUCUCUCUGUUCUCUCUGUUCUCUCUGUCUCUCUGUUCUCUGUCUCUCUAUUCUCUCUGUCUCUCUGUUCUCUCUGUCUCUCUAUUCUCUGUCUCUCUGUCUCUCUGUUCUCUCUGUCUAUCUAUUCUCUCUCUCGCUCUCUAUUCUCUCUCUCUAUUCUCUCUGUCUCUCUGUUCUCUCUGUCUCUCUGUUCUCUCUGUCUCUCUAUUCUCUCUGUCUCUCUGUUCUCUCUGUCUCUCUAUUCUCUCUGUCUCUCUCCCUACGACAGUAGUGGCUGUAGGAUGCAAUUACUUAACGUUGUUCAUUGUGGUUUUAAUAUCUAUGAUUUCCCAGCUAUGUUUACCUGACUAGCUGAGCCGUGUACAGGAUAUACUGGAGGUCAAAAGGACUCUAUGGACACCUCUUCUGCACAUCUUACAACUACCGGUAUGCAACAUUGAAGGAAAAAAAUUGCCGACAAAUGCAUAUGCAUACACAGCUGCUCUAGGUUGACCCACUACUGUGAAAAUUAAGACCUUGCUAGAUUAUUUUUCAAAUAAUAUUUAUGACUUGUAUAUAGUUUACUUUACAUACAUACACACACAUACAUAUGAAGGUGGAAUUGUGGUUUACACUAAUCUGAGUAACGAAACAACACCAGUAAAAUAUAAAUUCUGUUUUUUUUUCAGCAAGUUUGAAAUUUAAUGAACAUAAACAAGUACAUAAGCUGCUAUUUCCAUCAUUUGUAAAAAGCCCCCCCCCCAAAAAAAAAGCUCCAGUAAUUUGCAAAAUAAAGAAAAAGCCAUAAAAACUCAAACAAAUAAAAAUAUUUGGCCUCCUUGUUGUGGUAAUAUCAACAAUAUAUUCCAUAUGUAUUGUAAUAUAUUACCAUUAAUCCACAUGUCUAUAAGGCACCAAACGCUAAAUGGCACAAUCAUAGAAUAACUUUAUUCACUAUAAUUGUGCAGAAAAUACAAAGACAUCCAGAUCAACAGAAACACUCAAUCACAAAUUGGAUCAAAGGAAAUAUACUGCCGACCAUUAUAUUGUGUUGUUUAUUGGUCUCCAUUCAACUGAUUUAGGUUUUUCUGUCAAAAUGUGGGGAAACUGUAGAUUUCUGUAAAACUUUUGAGUUCCUUCUGAAUUGACAGUCAUGAGCUGUCAUCACUUGGUGUUCUCGAUUAUGCCUCCAGUUCAACAAUAUGCUCCUCCUUCUUUCCUGAGAUCAAAUCAAAUCAAAUCAAAUUUUAUUUGUCACAUACACAUGGUUAGCAUGAGAUUCAGGAAACUGUGUUACCGUAGCUGAAAUACAAACGCGAUCAUGAAUCUAAAUGAAUAAUGAAUGGAUUAGGCAUCAAAUUAUAAUCCCAUCAUUCAUAAAUAGUAACUAUUUUUUCAGUACAUCAUUUCUCAUCCAUUAACACAACAGGCAUAUUUAAAAAAAUCUGAAGUAAAAAAAAAAAAAAAAAAUCUUUGACAAUGUUUGGUAUAUGAAUGUGUUUCAAGUGUAAAUAUAGCAGAUGUAACAAUCCGUUCUCAACACUGUUGUUAGCAUGAUAUAACAUGUAAUAUCACAAAAUUCAACAUCCACCAGGAUCACAUUACUGUUCUAAGACAGAUAUUGCAAAAAUAGUCAUAUGAAAUCACUGGUCACUGAAUGAUGCAAUAAAACUACAUGCUGCUCAUUUGCCUUCACUGUCUUCUAUGUUUGGGGUGGCAGGUAGCCUAGUGGUUUAAACCAGGUAGCCUAGUGGUUUAAACCAGGUAGCCUAGGGGUUAAGAGCAGGUAGCCUAGUGGUUUAAACCAGGUAGCCUAGGGGUUAAGAGCAGGUAGCCUAGUGGUUUAAACCAGGUAGCCUAGGGGUUAAGAGCAGGUAGCCUAGUGGUUUAAACCAGGUAGCCUAGUGGUUUAGAGCAGGUAGCCUAGUGGUUUAAACCAGGUAGCCCAGCGGUUAAGAGCAGGUAGCCUAGGGGUUAAGAGCAGGUAGCCUAGGGGUUGAGAGCAGGUAGCCUAGCGGUUAAGAGCAGGUAGCCCAGUGGUUAAGAGCAGGUGGCCUAGUGGUUUAAACCAGGUAGCCAAGCGGUUAAGAGCAGGUAGCCUAGGGGUUAAGAGCAGGUAGCCUAGCGGUUAAGAGCAGGUAGCUUAAUGGUUUGAACCAGGUAGCCUAGCGGUUAAGAGCAGGUAGCCUAGAGGUUAAGAGAAGGAGGCCUAGCGGAUAAGAGCAGGUAGCCUAGCAGUUAAAAAUAGGUAGCCUAGCGGUUAAGAGCAGGUAGCCUGUUGGUUAAAAGCAGGAAGCCUAGCAGUGGGCCGGCAGGUAGCCUAGGGGUUAAGAGCAGGUAGCCUACUGGUUAAGAGCAGGUAGCCUAGAGGUUAAGAGCAGGUAGCCUAGCGGUGGGGCGGCAGGUUGCCUCGCAGUAAAAAGAAGGUAGCCUAGCGGUUAAGAGCAGGUAGCCUAGCAGUUAACAGCAUGUAGCCUAGCGGUUAAGAGCAGGUUGACUAGCGGUUAAGAGCAGGUAGGCUAGUGGUUAAGAGCAGGUAGGCUAGCGGUUAAGAGCAGGUAGGCUAGUGGUUAAGAGCAGGUUGACUAGCGGUUAAGAGCAGGUAGGCUAGUGGUUAAGAGCGGGUAGGCUAUUGGUUAAGAGCAGGUAGGCUAGCGGUUAAGAGCAGGUAGCCUAUUGGUUAAGAGCAGGUAGCCUAGAGGUUAAGAGCAGGUAGGCUAGUGGUUAAGAGCAGGUAGGCUAGUGGUUAAGAGCAGGUAGCCUAAUGGUUAAGAUCAGGUAGGCUAGGGGUUAAUAGCAGGUAGCCUAGCGGUUAACAGUAGGUAGCCUAGCGGAUAAGAGCACUGAGCCUUGCAAUUGAGAGAAGGUAGCCUAGCGCUUAAGAGUAGAUAGCCUGAAGGUUUAGAGAAGGUAGCCUAGCUGUAAAUCAGCAGGUAGCCUAGCGGCUAUGAGCAGGUAGCCUAGGAUUUAAGAUCAGGUAGCCUAUUGGUUAAGAGCAGGUAGCCUAGAGGUUAAGAGCAGGUAGUCUAGGGAUUAAGAGCAAGUAGCCUAGCAUUUAAGAGCAGGUAGUCUAGGUGUUAAGAGCAGGUAGCCUAGCGGUUAAGAGUAGGUAGCCUAGCAUUUAAGAGCCGGUAGCCUAGGUGUUAAGAGUAGGUAGCCUAGCGGUUAAGAGCAGGUAGCCUAGCGGGUAACAGCAGGUAGCCUAGCGGAUAAGAGCCGGUAGCCUAGCAGUUAAGAGCAGGUAGCCUAGUGGUGGGGCGGCAGGUUGCCUAGAGGUUAAGAGCAGGUAGCCUAGCGGUUAAGAGCAGGCAGCCUGAAGGUUUAGAGAAGGUAGCCUAGCGGUUAAGAGUAGGAAGCCUAGCGGAUAAGAGCAGUUAGCCAAGCGGUUAAGAGUAGGUAGCCUAGCGGAUAAGAGCAGUUAGCCAAGCGGUUAAGAGUAGGUAGCCUAGCGGAUAAGAGCAGUUAGCCAAGUGGUUAAGAGUAGGUAGCCUAGCGGAUAAGAGUAGGUAGCCUAGCGGUUAAGAGUAGGUAGCCUAGCGGAUAAGAGCAGUUAGCCAAGCGGUUAAGAGUAGGUAGCCUAGCGGAUAAGAGCAGUUAGCCAAGUGGUUAAGAGUAGGUAGCCUAGCGGUGGGGCGGCAGGUAGCCUAGCAGUUAAGAGUGUUGGGCCAGUAACCGAAAGGUCGCUGGUUUGAAUUACCUGAGCCAACUGGGUGAAUAAUCUGUCGAUGUGCCCUUGAGCAAGGCACUGAAUGUUAACUGCUCCUGUAAGUCACUCUGGAUUAGAGCGUCUGCUAAAUUAUGUAAAUGUAUUUAUUUACCUAUAUUUGUUACAAUAACGUCAAAUAUAUUUAAACUGUAAAAUCAUUAGUGAUGAAAAAAAAUGACCUGUGAUUUACAGUAAUUUUUUAUCAGAUUGGUUGGUGUCCAGUAUGACCUAUAUCAAUGUUCAGAGUGGUUGGUGUCCAGUAUGACCUAUAUCAAUGUUCAGAGUGGUUGGUGUCCAGUAUGAC
ensembl:lncRNA